GACAGAGGAAGACACAGAAUCCGAAGCAGGCUCCAGGCUCUGAGCCGUCAGCACGGAGCCCGCCGCGCGGCUCGAACUCGUGAACCGUGAGACCGUGCCCUGACCGGAAGCUGAAUGCUUAACCGGAAGCUGAAUGCUUAACCGGAAGUUGAAUGCUUAACCGGCUGAGCCCCCCAGGGCGCCCCCACCAGGCUUCCCUUCUUACAGUACAGAUGCUUUUCAGGCUGGGUCACGUGAGCCCCAGGCGCCCCACCCUCUUCCUGAAAGGACCUUUUCCUGCCAGCUCCUUCCAGGGUCUUGCCUGACGCAGCUUCGGGAGGCCCUGCUGGCCGUGCCACCCAGGGUCUCACCCCCAAGCAGGCACCGCACCAGCGGCCCGGCCCCAGAGCUUCCGGCAGGAGCUGAGUACCAGUUAUCGAAAUGCCACAGUCACGUCCCGGAGCCACCAGGAGCCCGUGUCUCAGGCUCACACACGGAGACCAUUAUCCCUCACGCGGGGGGCGAUUCUGGGCAGACUCAGUGGCCCAGGAAGGCCGAGGGGUACCCAACAGCAGACAGCUGCCGGUGUCGGAACAAGGGUCUAACUCGGGCUCGCGUUCCUGCAGUGGCCCGCAGGCCGAGGGCGGCCCCUGACCGGCCUUCAGGUGGUGGCCAGCUGACAGAGAAGCUAUGAGACUGGCCAGAGAGGACGACAGCACACCCCAAAACCCUGCUGUGGGGUUCCCGCCGCCCAUUCCAUGCCCCUAUUUGUGCCAAUGGUUUCGCCCUUCCCCAUCCAUCUUUGAAGCAAAACAAAGUGGACAGGA